rnacentral:lncRNA from 1 species
AACACACUCAAUGCCCAAGACCUACAAAUAACCUGCACCGGAUCCACACCUUCUCACUUGGAACUCCUGCUCCACAGAUUACAACCGCACAGCAGGCAACUGAAGUUUUCAACAGCAGAGCACCAAGAUAAACCAGAACAUCCCAGGACACGCGUCACCUAAGAUGAAUUUACACAGACACUGGAUGUGACCUGAACACAAACCUACAGGAGAAACCUGGUGUGCAAUGGGAGUCAACAGAGCUGGGCUAGGAAGUGGUGAGCCAAAAGUGAAGCCCAAGUGGGUACCAGAAAACACUCUCACAAGUUAAACUUCCUUUGAAUGCAAUAUUCUUAAAACUCAAAAACAAUAAACAAAGUCGAUGAGCAAAAUAGCACAUAAAAACGAAUUUUAGCAAAGGAAGUACCAUUAAAAUCCCAGACAUGAGUUCAAGACCAGAGAAAAA